GAUGGUUCUCAGGUGACACACCCUGGAAUAUGGCUCCCUCUUCUCUGGUUCUGGGUGCAUCACCUGAGAACCACU
rfam:Myotis davidii contig206773, whole genome shotgun sequence.